rnacentral:rRNA from 1 species
GACGAACGCUGGCGGCGCGCUUAACACAUGCAAGUCGAGGAUAGCGGCGGACGGGUGAGUAACACGUGAGUAACCUGCCUUAGACAUUGGGAUAGCCUCGGGAAACCGGGAUUAAUACCAAAUGGUCUAAGAUGGACUCGCGUCCCAUUAGCUAGUUGGUGAGGUAACGGCCCACCAAGGCGACGAUGGGUAGCCGGCCUGAGAGGGUGACCGGCCAAAGAUGGACGGAGGUACGGCCCAGACACCUAAGGGGAGGAGCAGUGGGGGAAAUUGCGCAAUGGGCGAAGCGUGAUGCAGCGAAGCCGCGUAGGGGAUGAAGGCUUUCGUGUUGUAAAGCUGUUUCGCAAUCGAACGGGUAGGUGGAGAAGAAGCGCCGGCUAACUACGUGCCAGCAGCCGCGGUAAUUC